AACGCGAAGAACCUUACCAAGGUUUGACAUGGCCGGAAAACUCGCAGAGAUGCGGGGUCCUUCGGGGCCGGUCACAGGUGGUGCAUGGCUGUCGUCAGCUCGUGUCGUGAGAUGUUGGGUUAAGUCCCGCAACGAGCGCAACCCUCGUCCUAUGUUGCCAGCGGGUUAUGCCGGGGACUCAUGGGAGACUGCCGGGGUCAACUCGGAGGAAGGUGGGGAUGACGUCAAGUCAUCAUGCCCCUUAUGUCUUGGGCUGCAAACAUGCUACAAUGGCCGGUACAAAGCGCUGCGACAUCGUGAGAUGAAGCGAAUCGCAUAAAGCCGGUCUCAGUUCGGAUUGGGCUCUGCAACUCGAGCCCAUGAAGUUGGAAUCGCUAGUAAUCGUGGAUCAGCAUGCCACGGUGAAUACGUUCCCGGGCCUUGUACACACCGAGACGUA
rnacentral:rRNA from 1 species